rnacentral:tRNA from 1 species
GGCCAGAUGGCAGAGUGGUUAUGCAGAGGACUGCAAAUCCUUGUAUGCCGGUUCGAUUCCGACUCUGGCCUCCA